GGAAAUUACAUCUAAUUACCUAAAAAAAUAUAAUUGAGUAAAUGAUUAUAGCAUCUUAGGUGAUGUAAUAUGUUAUAUAUUAUAUAAAAACUGGCAAAAUAUCCUUUCCCCAAAAAUGUUGUUUCUACCCGCAUCAGAGAAUGAGUAAGAAAAAAGUCACUGAGAAGAAUAAAGACUAUAGGUCUCAAGAACACGAACACAGCAACUCGAACUUGAAUGUAAGAUCACAUAAAUAAGAACCGUUCUUAUUAACUCUUGAGGAAACUAUCUCAAAACCUCAAACUCACAAACUCCUUAAAUUAUGCUACACACCAGCAUCUCCUUAUAUAACUCUUUAUUUAUCCUAACCUCAUUAGGAUUAACACAACUAGAUAUUUCCUAUUCUUUUAUAGAUAAACACAACAUAAAUAGGAAACUUGUAACUCAAGCUUAUCCAACAUUCUCCCUCUUAAGCUUGAAACCACUUUGUGUUAACUCUUGCACUCCAAUGAAAUCUCUCAUUUCUUUAAACUUGAUUCUUCCUAAUGUCUUGGUUAGUAUGUCAGCCUUUUGCUCAGUUCCGAGUACAUGCUCAACUUCUAUCAACUCCCUCUCAAUACAUUCACGUAUGAAGUGAUACCUUGAGUAUAUGUGCUUGCUUCUUCCAUGAAAGAUUGGGUUCUUUGUCAAAGCUAUUGCAGAUUGAUUGUCGAUCCUAAUGGUGACCUUCUCUCUCGAACAUCCGGUGACUUCACUCAGUACGUCACGCAACCAGAUUGCUUGUCUAGCAGCCUCUGUUCCUGCCAUGAACUCCGCCUCACAACUAGACAACACAACAGUGUCUUGCUUUUGUGAACACCACGUAAUAGGGCUCUUUCCUAGAUAAAAGAUGUGUCCGGUCGUGCUCCUGCCAUCAUCUGGAUCCAUAUUAUAGCUACUAUCGCUAUAACCCAUCAGUCGAGAUAUCUUGCUUGUCGAUCUUUCGAAAGACAGUCCAAGGUUUGCGCUCCCUUGUAGAUAUCUCAGACAUUGCUUCAGCGCCACUCCAUGUGAUUCUCUCGGACUGUGCAUAUACCGGCUAAGUACGCCUACUGUGAAGGAUAGAUCAGGUCUCGUAUGCAAUAAGUAUCUCAAACAGCCAAUAUUUCGUCUAUAGUUUGUAGCAUCAAUCUCUGUUUCUUCUUCUGCUUUCGACAAGUUCAGUCCAAGUUCCAUAGGAUUUUGGACCGGAUUACACUUAGAUAGUCCUGCGUCUUCAAGUAUCUUCAUCGCAUAACGCCUCUGAUUCAGAGUAAUCCCAUGCUCAUGCUGACAAACCUCCAUGCCAAUAUAAUAAGUGAGUUUUCCUAAAUCACUCAUGUCAAACUUACUCGCCAUAUUCCUUUUGAACUCAUCAAUAAGUUUCUUGUCUGUUCCGGUAACAAAGAGAUCGUCUAAGUAUACUGCUACCACAAGAAGCUCUCCUUUAACCACUUUCCGAUAGACUGAUGGCUCCUUUGAGCACUUAACAAACUCGAGUCCCAUAAGUAUCUGAUUGAGCUUGUUAUUCCACGCCCUCGGUGCUUGUUUCAAGCCGUAUAACGCCUUGUUGAGUUUGUAAACCUUACUCUCACUUCCCUUGACCUUGAACCCCUCUGGUUGUGAUACAAACAUGACUUCUUUGAGUUCUCCGUGUAAGAAUGCGGUCUUAACGUCUAGAUGAUGAACCUCCCAUCCAUUGGUUGCAGCUAAGUUGAUCAAUAACCGUAUGGUCUCAAGACGUGCAACUGGUGCAAAAACUUCAUCAAAGUCAAUCCCAUGUUGUUGUACAUACCCUUUAGCUACCAAUCGUGCUUUGAACUUGUUGAUGGUCCCAUCUGAAUUUCUCUUUAGCUUGAAUACCCAUUUGAGAUCAAUCGGUUUUGCUCCAUAAGGAAGGUCUACUAGAUCCCACGUUUUGUUCCUCACAAUGGAGUCGAUCUCUUCUUCACAUGCCCUCGUCCAUUCUUUUGAAUUCUUUGCUUCACCAAAAUUUCUAGGCUCGUUGUUAAGAUAGAGCAAUACCUCUUCACCUAGUUCUUCAGCCAGUAAGAUGUAAUCUUCGAGGUAUUUAGGCUGCGCUGUUUGUCUUUCUGAUCUUCUUAAUGGCUGAGGUUGACUCUCAUCUUCGCUAAUGCUCUGUUCUGGAACAGAGCUGAUAUCUUCAUCCUCAUGUAUAUCUUCUUUCCUUGCGUUUAUGUUGCUUGCACUGGAAGUCAUUCCUUCUUCUCCUUCUACACCGUGAUUUCCAAAUUCACCAAGCGUGACUGCAAAGCUUUGAUCAUUAUGUGUCUCUGUACCGUCUCUGCUCCAGUUCCAGCAUCUUGUUUCAUCAAAGACGAUGUCUCGACUAACAGUCACUUUACGUGUUGAUGGAUCAUAGAGACGAUAUGCCUUUGACCCUGGUUCUGUGCCUAGAUGAACCAGCACUCUCGACCUAUCUUCAAGCUUUGUUAGAUGUGGUCCGACUAUCUUUGCAUACGCCAAACAUCCAAACACUCGAACGUGACUUAUAUUUGGCUUUCUUCCCCGCAACAUCUCAUAUGGCGUCUUUGACUCCAAAGAUCUUGUGGCUAGUCGAUUGAUAAGGUAUGUCGCAUGCCUAAUAGCCUCUCCCCAAAUAUAGUUUGGCAUAGACAUAUGCUUCAUCAUGCUCCUCAUCAUGCCCAUUAGAGUAUUGUUUCGUCGCUCAACAACGCCGUUCUGCUGCGGUGUAUAAGGCGCAGUGAGGUGUCGUUUUAUUCCAGCUCCUUCGCAAUAGCCAUUGAACUCGUGGCUCACAAACUAUCCCCAUUUAUCUGUUCUGAGUGUUUGUAUUCUUUCUUUUGUCUCUUUCUCUAUCAGGCUUCUUAACCUUUUAAAUUUGUUGAAUGCUUCUCCUUUUUCCCUCAAUAGCAUUGUCCACAUGUACCUUGUAUAAUCAUCAAUAACUACAAAGAUGUACCUUUUCUGGCCAUGUGUGCUCCGUGUUAUGGGACCACAGAGAUCGGCGUGAAGUAGUUCCAGUACCUUCGUAGCUCGGUACGUAGUUGUUUUAGGGAAUGAUUGCCUUGCUUGCUUCCCAAGCAUACAAGACCCACAUAUAUUUGACUUGAUAUGUGUCUACGGCAUUCCAAUAGCUAGUUCUUUCCUCAUCAUGUUGCGAAUAGUCUCGUGAUUAGCAUGUCCUAUACGUGCGUGCCAUCGACUUGCUUCUCCUUCUGCAGUUAAGAACAGACAAGGCGUGCUCUCUAUUCCCAUACGAACUUUAUACAAUCUGUUCUUGGAUCUUGUAGCUCUGACAAGCAACUUCCCAUCCUGAUCAUGCAUCGUCAGUACUUCUCCUUUCAUUCUUAUAUCACACCCAGCCUCUGUAGCCUGGCCUAGGCUAAUAAUAUUACUCUUUAAGUCUGGUAUCCAGUAAACAUCAGUCAUCUUCCUCGAGUUUCCAUUCAUGUCAGUGAAUGAUAUCGUGCCCUUUCCUUUUAUACCGAUUCGGGAAUCAUCUCCAAAACGCACCUUUCCGGAGAUUGUUUUAUCAAUGGUUGAGAAAUAUCUUUUAUCUCCCGUCAUGUGGUUUGAAGCCCCGUUAUCGAGAUACCAUACGUUCUCUUCUCCACUAUUAGUCUCGUACUUAUCUGGCAACACGUUCUUCUCAUUCAGGAACACAAUUUCAUGCAUCAUGAGCUCAUCGGACUCUUGCGUAUCAACAUUGUCCGUCUCCUGGGCCUCUUGCAGUUUAAGUUUUAGUUCCGGACAUUGAGCUACAAAGUGACCUACUUUAUCACACCGGAAGCAAGUGAUUCGCGACGCGUCUCUCUCGUAGCUAAAACGACCACGACCUCUCCCUCUGUAGUAUGAACGUCCUCCACGUCCUCUUCCUCUGUAUGAGUUGUAGUCACGAUUUCCUUGCUCCGAGUUGUAGUAGCUUGGUUGCUCUCCUUGCGGUUUACCAAGAUUAUUUGCUUCUGUAGUUGCAUACAUUAGCUUUCCCUUGUCGUCCUCAUCUUGAUCAUCUUCACAGAUACGCUCUUCAUAUGCCUUUAGACGUCCAAUAAUAUCCUCAAAACUUGUUGCAGAAAGAUCGAGUACUUACUCAAGAGAUGCAACAAUGUGUAUGUAUUUUUUCCGAGGAAGACUCAUCAAAAACUUCUUAACAAGUUUCGUUUCUUCAAUGGUUACUCCUAGGGCUGCUGAUCUUGCUGAUAAUUCAAAUAAUUUUCCUCCAAAAUCAUCAAUGCUCUUCGUUUCCUUCAUCUUCAAACGAUCGAACUCGGUCAUUAAGGUUUGGAGUCUUGCUUCUUUGACCCGCUCUGCUCCUACAUGCCGAGUUUUGAUAGCAUCCCACACUUGCUUUGCUGCCCCAAGCUCUCCGACCUGCAGUAUAAGACUCUCUGGAAUUGAUUGGAAUAAAAGGGCUAACGCCAUAUUAUUCUUCUCGUUAUUCUCUGCUUCUGUCUCCACGGCCUCCCAGACCUUAUGAACUCGAAGGAGAAUCUUCAUCCUCAUUGUCCAUACAGUGUAAUUUGUUGUAUUGAGCAUAUGACACUUUAUGGUUGACGAUCCUCCUCCAUCCUUGACUCUUUCGGUUGUCGCAACUAUAUCACCCAUUGUUUUGUGUGGCUCUGAUACCAAAUAAAGACUAUAGGUCUCAAGAACACGAACACAGCAACUCGAACUUGAAUGUAAGAUCACACAAAUAAGAACCAUUCUUAUUAACUCUUGAGGAAACUAUCUCAAAACCUCAAACUCACAAACUCCUUAAGUUAUGCUACACACCAGCAUCUCCUUAUAUAACUCUUUAUUUAUCCUAACCUCAUUAGGAUUAACACAACUAGAUAUUUCCUAUUC
rnacentral:lncRNA from 1 species